GGAAGUCUGAUAGCCAUGUUUGAAUUCACCGGAUGUUUAUUUCCAGAAGAAAAGUAUAAACAAACACGACGAUAGCCUAAAAACGAAGUUUGUUUCCCGUCUUACUGAAGAAGAUCGACUUACUUCAAGUUACCGACGAAUGAAUAUCAGCUUUCUCGUUGUUUUUGACGACCGAUGCAUAUUUUUACCGACAAACAUCGUUACGAGACAGGGGUUUUGAUGAUUAAUUUAUCACAGAUUACACGGCCGAAGGAAACGCAGUACCGAUCCAUGUGUUACAAUCAGACUGAGUCUUCAUGCAGUACAUUCUGGAAUGAGGAACACCGCAUGCAUUGUGGUCCAAAUUGAUGGCAUUGACUUAACACAAAGCAGAAAGGAAUGAAGAGAAAUUAAAAAGUUUAUGUUUCACAUUAAUUAAGAUUAUUCGAGAUAUGUUAUCUGUCGAGGUAUACAACAUUUCCUUUCAUAAUAAAAGUGUAAACAUUAAUAUAUAUACAAAAAAAAAUCAUGUAUAUAAUCUAAAAAUCCUUGUUAGUUAUUUGUUGUACUAGCAAAAAAUAUAAUAUAGUCGUCUCAAGCUUGGUUGUAUUGAAAUCCCUGGGGACAGUGACAGAGAUAUAUCACUACAGUACGUGCUACAUCAAACAACACACCAUUGUUCAAAUUGUCAAUCAACAUUUCAUUUAGUCAGUAUUUAGAAUUGAUUCCAAAAUUAUGAUAAUCUUUUCACAGUUUAUUAGAAAUAAUGUUAAAUUCGAUAGAAGAAGUCUUCGACUGUUGCUUGUUUUUGUUUAUUUUAAGUUCACGGACACACAUGAAAACAGUUUCCAGUACAUCUGGGCUACUUCGAGGAAACUACUUAUACUGUCUGAAAUCAGUCUUGUGCGUCGGUGACAAAAUGUAUACAUAUCCUACUAUAACUCUGCUGGAAAAUAUUAUUUUGUACUAUUUUCCUACUAUUUUAGA